rnacentral:rRNA from 1 species
AUGCAAGUCGAACGAGUUCCAAGGAGUAGCAAUACUCCUGAAGAGCUAGUGGCGAACGGGUGAGUAACACGUGAGCAACCUGCCCCGAAGACUGGGAUAACAGCGGGAAACCGCUGCUAAUACCGGAUACCCCCAUUGGGUCACAUGGCCCGAUGAGGAAAUGGAUUCCGCUUCGGGAGGGGCUCGCGGCCUAUCAGCUUGUUGGUGGGGUAACGGCCCACCAAGGCGACGACGGGUAGCUGGUCUGAGAGGACGAUCAGCCACACUGGGACUGAGACACGGCCCAGACUCCUACGGGAGGCAGCAGUGGGGAAUAUUGCGCAAUGGGCGAAAGCCUGACGCAGCAACGCCGCGUGAGGGAUGACGGCCUUCGGGUUGUAAACCUCUUUCGAGCAGGGACGAUAAUGACGGUACCUGCAGAAGAAGCUCCGGCCAACUACGUGCCAGCAGCCGCGGUAAUACGUAGGGAGCGAGCGUUGUCCGGAUUCAUUGGGCGUAAAGAGCUCGUAGGCGGCUUGAUAAGUCGGAUGUGAAACCUCCAGGCUCAACCUGGAGUCGCCAUCCGAUACUGUCAUGGCUAGAGUCCGGUAGGGGCCCACGGAACUCCUGGUGUAGCGGUGAA